rnacentral:rRNA from 1 species
UACGGAGGGUGCAAACGUUGCUCGGAAUUAUUGGGCGUAAAGCGCACGUAGGCGGCCGACUAAGUCGGGUGUGAAAGCCCUGGGCUCAACCCAGGAAGUGCACUCGAAACUGACCGGCUUGAAUAUGGAAGAGGGUCGCGGAAUUCCCGGUGUAGAGGUGAAAUUCGUAGAUAUCAGGAGGAACACCGGUGGCGAAGGCGACCACCUGGACGAAGACUGACGCUGAGGUGCGAAAGCGUGGGGAGCAAACAGG